UGCCUGUUGGCUCAGUUGGUUAGAGCGCCGUGUUAACAAGACGCGGUGUUAAGGGUUCGAUCCCCUUACGGGCAA
rnacentral:tRNA from 1 species